rnacentral:rRNA from 1 species
AACAGGGAUUACCUCAGUAACGGCGAGUGAAGCGGUAACAGCUCAAAUUUGAAAGCUGGCUCUUUUAGGGUCCGCGUUGUAAUUUGUAGAAGAUGCUUCGGGUGUGGCCCCGGUCUAAGUUCCUUGGAACAGGACGUCAUAGAGGGUGAGAAUCCCGUAUGUGACUGGGUGCUUUCGCUCAUGUGAAGCUCUUUCGACGAGUCGAGUUGUUUGGGAAUGCAGCUCAAAAUGGGUGGUAAAUUUCAUCUAAAGCUAAAUAUUGGCCAGAGACCGAUAGCGCACAAGUAGAGUGAUCGAAAGAUGAAAAGCACUUUGGAAAGAGAGUUAAACAGUACGUGAAAUUGUUAAAAGGGAAAC